rnacentral:rRNA from 1 species
GGGGAAUCUUGCGCAAUGGGCGAAAGCCUGACGCAGCGACGCCGCGUGCGGGAUGACGGCCUUCGGGUUGUAAACCGCUGUCGGGAGGGACGAAGCUCUGACGGUACCUCCAAAGGAAGCACCGGCUAACUCUGUGCCAGCAGCCGCGGUAAUACAGAGGGUGCAAGCGUUGUCCGGAAUCACUGGGCGUAAAGGGCGCGUAGGCGGCCUGGUAAGUCGGGGGUGAAACGCUGCGGCUCAACCGCAGCACUGCCUUCGAGACUGUCAGGCUUGAGCACGGUAGAGGCAGGUGGAAUUCCCGGUGUAGCGGUGGAAUGCGUAGAGAUCGGGAAGAACAUCGGUGGCGAAGGCGGCCUGCUGGGCCGUUGCUGACGCUGAGGCGCGACAGCGUGGGGAGCAAAC